GAGGCGUUGAUGAUUAGGCCUGCAGAGUCUCAGAGCAGGGUUCCAGUAUUUAAAGUUCCAAUUCUACACUAAGAAUGGUAUGCGACAGAAAUGCAGGGUUCUGAGCUUCUGUUUUCUCCAAUCAGUUGGAAGUUCUGCAUGUAGAUUAUUUCCUGAGGGGCUGAUUUAUCAAGUCAGUGGCAGGACAACCUGAUCAAAACUUAUGGCUGACACCCUAAAGAUAGCUUCACAUGGUAGCAAAAAUGAGCAAAACAGACUUGAGUUCUAAUUCCUCCUCCACUUUGGCCCAGUUGUUUCCACUUUCUGAGCCACUUAACUCAACUGUAAAUGUAGAAUGGCAAUCCAAACUUUAUUCUUGUGGAGUUUGAAUGAGCAUAUCUCAUUUUGGACUAGCCAUCUUUCAAGAGCUCAACAGCCACGUGCUAUUAAUGGCUACCACAUUAAAGGCUCCAAGUCUAGAUGGAAAAUAAACAAGUAAACCUAUAAACACAGUUAAUAGAUGUUUUUCAGCUGCAAUCUGUACUGUGACUGGAAUGAGAAAGCCUUAAUUCAUACCAUCUUCCGAUGAUACAAGACAAGCAAGUUUGUAAUUUAAUAAACGCAGUCAAACCUGA
rnacentral:lncRNA from 1 species